CCACUGCUGACCCGCGACGUCGGAAUCGAGCUGCCACACACCCGUGAGACGCCACCUCUGCCGGACCAUCACCGUACCUCCGGGAGCUCUCCACUGGUGCUCGGCCUCAACCCGAAUCAGUCCCAGUAGCCCGACGUCCCUGCACCCGACGUUGCUGCUCCUCUGCUUGCUGCUGCACGCCCGAACAGAGCCAUCUGCUGCCUCCUCUGUUUUGCUGCAGGUCUGGUUACUGCCGAACCUCGCCGGAGCUCCAACGGACAGCCCUCGUUCCGAACGGCAACCCAUCACCGAACCACCAGCUGCUCCUCGCCAUUCCUCAAGCCAACCGUGAGUUGGACUAGGUGAUUUUCUAGAUAUUUGAUUUCAUGUUUUUUUU
rnacentral:lncRNA from 1 species